GGAAUGGGAAGAACUUGCAGCCAGAGGGAACAGGGGAUAGACUGGAGAAUAGCACCGUCACCAGGAAAAGGCAGGUCUAUGUGAUCGACUCUUUACUGAGAAGAAUAGACAGGCCUGUAACUAGAGCUAAUCCAGAGAAUAGAAGAGUGUGCUGUAUUCCAGUUUGU